rnacentral:rRNA from 1 species
AUUGAACGCUGGCGGCAGGCCUAACACAUGCAAGUCGACCGAAUGGCGGACGGGUGAGUAAUGUCUGGGAAACUGCCUGAUGGAGGGGGAUAACUACUGGAAACGGUAGCUAAUACCGCAUACCAUCAGAUGUGCCCAGAUGGGAUUAGCUUGUUGGUGGGGUAACGGCGAACCAAGGCGACGAGCCCUAGCUGGUCUGAGAGGAUGACCAGCCAAACUGGAACUGAGACAGUGUCCAGAAUCCUACGGGAGGCAGCAGUGGGGAAUAUUGCACAAGGGGCGCAAGCCUGAUGCAGCCAUGCCGCGUGUAUGAAGAAGGCCUUCCGGUUGUAAAGUACUUUCAGCGGGGAGGGGUUACCCGCAGAAGAAGCACCGGCUAACUCCGUGUCAGCAGCCGCGGUAAUUC